UACGAAGGGGGCUAGCGUUGUUCGGAAUUACUGGGCGUAAAGGGCGCGUAGGCGGCUUCGUUAGUCGGGGGUGAAAGCCCAGGGCUCAACCCGGGAAUUGCCUUCGAUACUGAGAGUCUUGAGUUCGGAAGAGGUUGGUGGAACUGCGAGUGUAGAGGUGAAAUUCGUAGAUAUUCGCAAGAACACCAGUGGCGAAGGCGGCCAACUGGUCCGAUACUGACGCUGAGGCGCGAAAGCGUGGGGAGCAAACAGG
rnacentral:rRNA from 1 species